rnacentral:rRNA from 1 species
GAGCAAACAGGAUUAGAUACCCUGGUAGUCCACGCCGUAAACGAUGUCGACUUGGAGGUUGUGCCCUUGAGGCGUGGCUUCCGGAGCUAACGCGUUAAGUCGACCGCCUGGGGAGUACGGCCGCAAGGUUAAAACUCAAAUGAAUUGACGGGGGCCCGCACAAGCGGUGGAGCAUGUGGUUUAAUUCGAUGCAACGCGAAGAACCUUACCUGGUCUUGACAUCCACGGAACUUUCCAGAGAUGAGAAGGUGCCUUCGGGAACCGUGAGACAGGUGCUGCAUGGCUGUCGUCAGCUCGUGUUGUGAAAUGUUGGGUUAAGUCCCGCAACGAGCGCAACCCUUAUCCUUUGUUGCCAGCGGUCCGGCCGGGAACUCAAAGGAGACUGCCAGUGAUAAACUGGAGGAAGGUGGGGAUGACGUCAAGUCAUCAUGGCCCUUACGACCAGGGCUACACACGUGCUACAAUGGCGCAUACAAAGAGAAGCGACCUCGCGAGAGCAAGCGGACCUCAUAAAGUGCGUCGUAGUCCGGAUUGGAGUCUGCAACUCGACUCCAUGAAGUCGGAAUCGCUAGUAAUCGUGGAUCAGAAUGCCACGGUGAAUACGUUCCCGGGCCUUGUACACACCGCCCGUCACACCAUGGGAGUGGGUUGCAAAAGAAGUAGGUAGCUUAACCUUCGGGAGGGCG